AACAAAAGCCGCUCGCGUGUGAACUUUGUGUUUCUCUGCAGGGAAGAGCCGGGAGCACAUGGAAGGAGAGAGAGAGGCGAAAAUCCCAAAUCGCUGCUGUCACUGGAUCAUCACCAUCAGCAGCAGCAGCAGCAGCAGCGGCAGCGGCAGCGGCAGGGGCAGGGGGCAGGUCUGCUGCGACUCGGCACUUUCUCGGGCUCCGGUGGCUCCCUUUCCUUCCUUUGCCCCCUUUUGUUUUGAAGAGAAGGAGGAGAAGGGGAGAGAAGAAAAUCAGGCACCAAAAGUCGUCUCGAUCGUCUCCGGUGAGAUGAUGGUUAAAAAGGAGGAAAAAAAAAAAAAAAGUCGAAGAAGCGGAAAACGUCCCGGAAUUUUGUGCGAGCCCCCUCCCUUUAUCUUUUUCUGUUGUUGUUGUUGUUAUCCCCAGUCUGCCGAUGUGAACAAGAGGAGAAGGGAGAGAAAUGUGAAGAUGAGAGGAGGUGGAACAAUGAAUUUAUAGCGGAAUGCCAUCCUGCAAUGGCAAUUUCAACAAUUCGUCACUGCAGGCUGCCUCUUAAAGGGAGAGCUUCAAAACCACCACUCCCACACUUCCUUCUCAUUUAAUCAGACAGAGGGAGAGAAACUUGAGGGGAGGGGGAAAGGCGCGGGGGGAGGAGAAGAGGAGGGAGAGGGAGCGAGGGAGAGGGCGGCAGGGGAGCGAGCGAGAGGGAGGAAGCCGGGGAGGGCAGGAGCGAGCGGCCGAAAAUGUUUGUGCACGGAAAACACCAGAUUUCCUUUGAAUCGCUUUAAAGCCGCAGCGGCGCCCGCCGGUUUGAUAUUUCACAACUGGCCGGGGGCGCUCGGGCCGUGCUUACCUCCCGGCGCUGCCGCUCGUCCGGAGCCUCGGGGGGGGCUGAGCCAGCCUCGCCCCCGGCUGCCGGGGGGGGGGGGCGGGGAGCGGCCGGGGNNNNNNNNNNNNNNNNNNNNNNNNNNNNNNNNNNNNNNNNNNNNNNGCGCCGUCCGGGGGUCCCCCGGGCUCCCACAGCCCCGGGGCUGCCCCCCCGGGCUCGUCCCCUGCCCCCGCACCUUGCCGGGGCCAGCGGCAGCGCCGAGCUUCGUCGUCCCCUUCCUUUGUCUCCGCGGCCGCGGCUCGCCCUGCGCCCAGGCUGUCAUUAAGUCCCGGCAAGCUGUCAUCUAGUUUGGGCGGACCGUGAUUUCCCCCGAGCCCCCGAGGAGGAGAGAGGGCGGGGAAGAGUUAGCGCUCGCUUUGACCUUACGGAUGACUUCAGAUGCUUAGAUCAUCCCCCGCGGGCUGACACACGCGUCCACUCGCGCCGUGCCCCCCUGCCCCCUUUCUCCCGGCUCCGCGCUCCGACAGGACAGCACAAAGGGCAGACGUCCGGGCUGACUUUUUCAUCUGCCCUGCCCACGCUGGCACUGCCCCUAGGCAGAGGAGACGGGCAGCGGCUCGCUCAGGACAGAGGAGGGGGUGCACGACCCCCGCCGAGGUGCACCCCCCA
rnacentral:lncRNA from 1 species